GUGAACAAGUACCGCGAGGGAACGGUGAAAAGAACCCCUGCUAGGGGAGUGAAAAAGAACCUGAAACCGAUUGCAUACAAUGUGUGGGAGCUGCCGCAAGGCAGUGACCGCUUGCCUUUUGCAUAAUGAGUCUGCGAGUUAUUGUCAGUGGCCAGCCAAAGGUUCUCUGAACCGAAGGCGAAGGGAAACCGAGUGCCAAUAGCGCGACCAGUCGCUGGCAAUAGACCCGAAGCGGAGGUGAUCUACUCUUGAGCAGGUUGAAGCUGAGGUAACACUCAGUGGAGGCCCGAACCAGUGUUGGUUGAAAACAGCUUGGAUGAGCUGAGGGUAGGGGUGAAAGGCUAAUCAAACUUGGCGAUAGCUGGUUCUCCUCGAAAGAUAUUUGGGUAUCGCCUCGGGAAAUUAAGUCUUGGGGGUAGAGCACUGAAUGGGCUAGGGGGCAUAUCGCUUACCGAACCUUAUCAAACUCCGAAUGCCAUAUACAUUAAGUCCGGCAGUCAGACUACGAAUGAUAAGAUCCGUGGUCAAAAGGGAAACAGCCCAGAUUGGCAGCUAAGGCCCCGAAUCCAUGCUCAGUGUAGAUAAGGAAGUGGAGUUGCUUGGACAGCUAGGAUGUUGGCUUAGAAGCAGCCAUCAUUUAAAGAAAGCGUAAUAGCUCACUGGUCGAGCGAGCCUGCGCCGAAAAUACAACGGGGCUAAAGCCUAGCACCGAAGCUUCGGGCUUCUUCGGAAGCGGUAGGGGAGUACUCUCAAGCAGAUACACGGCGUACCGGCAAGGAGCGCUAUCGGGCUUGAGAGGAGCUUAUGCAGGCAUGAGUAGCGAUAAACAGGAUGAGAAAUCCUGUCGCCGUAAGCCCAAGGUUUCCCGGGGUAGGAUAAUCCUCCCGAGGGUUAGUCGGAUCCUAAGCCGAGGCUGAAAAGCGUAGGCGAUGGAAAGCAGGUUAAUAUUCCUGCGCCUGCUAUACACUAAAAGGGACGGAGAGCCGUGGUGGCUACGUACGGACGGAAGUGUACGUUGAGCCCAGCCUUCGGGCAAAGCGAAGCCAUAAAAGUUCUUCCAAGAAAAACGAGUAUAGCAGCCGGUACCGUAAACCGACACAGGUAGUCGAGGAGAGAAUCCUAAGGUGCUCGAGUGAGUCAUGGCUAAGGAACUAGGCAAAUUAACCCUGUAACUUCGGGAAAAGGGGUGCCUCCUUAUAGCAAUAUGAGAGGUCGCAGAGAAAUGGCCCAGGCGACUGUUUAACAAAAACACAUGGCUAUGCGAAAUCGAAAGAUGAAGUAUAUGGCCUGACACCUGCCCGGUGCUGGAAGGUUAAGCGGAGAGGUCAGCCACUUCGGUGGCGAAGCUUUGAUUCUAAGCCCCAGUAAACGGCGGCGGUAACUAUAACCGUCCUAAGGUAGCGAAAUUCCUUGUCGGGUAAGUUCCGACCUGCACGAAUGGCGUAACGACUUCCCUACUGUCUCAACCACAGACCCAGCGAAAUUGAAGUACGAGUAAAGAUGCUCGUUAGCUGCGGAAGGACGGAAAGACCCCGUGGACCUUCACUAUAACUUGAUGUUGUGUUUUGGUUUAGAUUGUGUAGGAUAGGUGGGAG
rnacentral:rRNA from 1 species